GUCGAGAAUCUUUCACAAUGGGGGCAACCCUGAUGGAGCGACGCCGCGUGGAGGAUAAGGUCUUCGGAUUGUAAACUCCUGUCAUGCGUGAACAAGGUUGCUUGGUUAAUACCUGGGCAAAUUGAUGGUAACGCAAGAGGAAGAGACGGCUAACUCUGUGCCAGCAGCCGCGGUAAUACAGAGGUCUCAAGCGUUGUUCGGAAUCACUGGGCGUAAAGGGUGCGUAGGUGGCGUGGUAAGUCAGAUGUGAAAGCACGGGGCUCAACUUCGGAACUGCAUCAGAUACUGCCAUGCUAGAGUACUGGAGAGGUGACUAGAAUUCUCGGUGUAGCAGUGAAAUGCGUAGAUAUCGAGAGGAAUACCAAAGGCGUAGGCAGGUCACUGGACAGUUACUGACACUGAGGCACGAAGGCCAGGGGAGCGAACGGGAUUAGAAACCCCAGUAGUCC
rnacentral:rRNA from 1 species